UCCGACAUCGACAUCGCGGAUCCAAACGAACGAAGAUCAGAGAGCCAAAUCCAGAAGAGAAAAGGCGAGAAAGUUAGAGGGGAGAGUGUCUUCUCUAGAGAGAGUUUUCUGGAGCAAGAAAGGAGGAGAGAAAUGAUCGGAGGAAAGGUCGUUAUGGUUGUGGUGGGAACGUUCUUCUCGAUGAAUAUUUUUAUUUUUUGAAUGUAAAAUAGAACGGGAAUUUCGCUUUCGUUUCGGUGGGAACGCCGCCAGAAUGGUGCACCAAAUGCGUCGUCGUUUUGUCUCUUUAAAUGCUUGAAAUUACGGUUCCAUCCUUUCUUGUUUUUCAACUGUCGGCCCCUGAUAUUUGGGGUUAUCUCAUACGGCCCCCCUAUAUUUUGAAGUGUUCGACUUUUAACCCUCGAAGGGGCUUCGAUCCUGGUGUUGGUGCCAAGACGUGACCGCCUCUCAACUCUCACGUUGAUUUAUCUAUUGGAGAUUUUCUACAAAAAUGGGCUACUUGAAGGACAAUUUUUCUUUAGCUUCCAACUUCUUUAUUUACUUAUUUUUAAUGAAGACACAAUUUUUCCAACCAUUUUUAAUACUUGAAUUAAGUUUGAAUUAAAUUUUUGUUGAAUUCAAGUUUUAAAAAAUAAGGUUAAAUUAAAUUUAUAUUAACUACCCCAAAUUAAAACUUAAGUUAAAUUAUAUUUGACUAGAUUAUUUCUUAAUUUGAAUUUAACCCAAUUUAUAAUUCGAUCUAAUCCAUCUAAAUUACAGUCAGUCUUAAAAUGACAGUUUCAAUUACUUAAAAUGACUGCUUCAAUUUUAUUUUAUUUUUAAAAAAAAUGAAUCUAUGUUGGAGUUGUUCUUUCUUUAAUAAUAACUUCUAUUUUUAAAAGAGGUUGUUACUUGAAGAGAAAAUUUUACUAAAAAUAAAAUAUAAAAUAAACUUAAUUUUUAGUCUAAGUGUAAUUUGAAGGAAUAAUUUCAAUGUAAAAGAAAUUAAUAAAUUUGUAGCACUAGCCCAUAAAAUGACAGUGUUUGAGAAAGAAAUAGGCAAGUAAUGUAACAAUAAGAAACUAUGUAUGAAUUAUGAUAUUUGAGUGGACUUGAAGCUAUCUUGGCCGUCGAGAUAUUAGUUCAAUCAACAUCAUGUUGGCUCCUUAAAUCACAUAUUUGUAAGCUAGACCUGAUAUCACAUGGCCAAGGAAUGCCCCAGGAAGCUCAAACUAUGUCACUCAACUACAUGUAAAUGUAUUAAGGGUGAGAUAGGGCUCAAGCCCAAAUACAAUUAAAAUCACGCAAUUAUCAUAUUAUUAUAUAAUUUUUAAUAAUAUACUUUGCAUUUUAUUGAAAUAUUAAACAAAAUAUUACAUUUUUUUCUAUUCCAAAAUUAUACAUAUAUAUAUACAUAUAUACAUGUAUAUAUAUAUAUAUAUAUAUAUAUAUAACCAGUUAGACGUGACUAGCUUGGGAUAUCACAUGGGUGAGUCAAACGGUUUAACCCAAGUAGCUUGACUGGUUCAUUGAAAUCAAUUUAAUAACGUUAAACAAGUAAAGAGUGAGUUUGAUAAUGAUUUUAGAAAAUAUUUCUAUUUUUUUUAACACUUAAAAUUUUUUAUCUUUUAAAUAUAAAAAUAAAAAAUAAAAAUUAGAAACACUUCCUAUAAUCACUACCAAACACACUCGAAAUAGCAAUGGAAAACACAACCCCAAAUGUAAUGUUCAAACUGACAGUUCUAUUUAUUAAGAGCUUAUUGUCACAAGAUGUUUCAGUAAGACUGACUUAGCAAGAUAAGUGUCUUGAUUUGUCUAAGUGUUGCACAGAAGAGACUAAAUCCGUGAUAUUGUGCCAAACAUGAACUAGAGAAACCCCUUCUCUUUGCAGCAUUGAAUUGCUUCAUCAAACAUCUCAUCCAGCCCAUACUUAUACUUGAACCCAGUAUCCAAUAGCUUCUUUGACGAGACGCCAGGUGUUCCAUACCCUUGAACCUCCUUCAAAGAACUGCAAAACAAAAAAAACAAAAAAGCAAUUGAAUAUUUUGCCUUUUCAGAUCAACAGAUAUGAAGCCAAAAAACAUGGAGCAAUUAUUAAGAAAGGAUUAAAAUGGAACAGAACUCACUCUAUUGUGGGUAUUGGAAGUUGUGGGUACUUGGCAGAAAGAAACUCAGACAUCUCAUUCAGUGUCAGUCUGUCUGAUGAACAAAUAUAUCUGCCUUUUGCAUCUGGGUAUUCCAGAAGAAAGAUGUGUGCACUGCAUACAUCAUCCACGUGCACCAUUGACACGCUCAUAAGAAAAUGAUAAUGUUGCUGGUCACCUGUAUAUGUCAAGAAAAUUAUGAAGAAGGUAGUUUCAAGUGUGGACUUGGUUGACCCAGGCCUAAAAUGAGAAGAAAGUGCGAAUAUAUAUCACAUGAUUCAAUUAGAAUAUAUGUGUCUUCACAAAGUGAAGCAACAUACCUAAGACCAGAGCCAGUGCGGCGUUCACCGAUCCAGGGAACCGGGGACAAAUGAAGGGGCCCACAACAAAAGAAGGAAUCACAGUCACCAGGUCCAAUCCAUGCUCAUGUGCAAAAUCAAGAGCUGCCCUUUCGGUCAUUGUCUUGGAAAUCAUGUAUGAUAGGCCCCAAUAGUUGAGAGCCUUGAGGAAAUCUACAUCACUCCAUGAACUCUCAUCCUUUAUGUCUCCACCCUUGUCAUUGUACUCAACAGCAGAUGUACUAGAAGUAUACACAACUCGCUUCACCGUCUUUGAAUUCAGACACGCCUUUAAAAUGCCUAAAGUGCCUUCCACCGAUCUUUUGGUCACAGUUUCCUCUGGUUCUGUGUCUUCAAAAUCUAUGGGAUGAGCAACAUGGAAAACUCCGAUACAUCCUUCAAUGGCUGCUUCAAAACUGCUGGGAUCACUCAGAUCUGCGUUGUAGAUUCGGAGCUUUUCCGAUGCUCCCGGAAGGUUUGUCAGGUAGCUAACGUCUUUCUUGCUCUCUGAUCAUGUGGAAAUUUUUGCAAUUUCUAGAGUUAGCUUCUUUGCUAAAAAAGCCCUAAAAAAAACCAGAAUGGCAAAACAUUUCGUACUCCAAAACACGAUUAAUAAUUUUAUUAGUUUCGAAAAACUAAACUUAAAAAAAAUGAGGAAAAAAAAAAAAAAAGAUUAUAAAAUUCAAAAAAUUUGCAUACGAGGGUGAGAUCGAAUGGUAGCAUUAACAGAGUAACCGUGUUGCAGAAGCUUCAUGACGAGCCAUGAGGCUAUGAACCCUGUCCCACCUGUUACACACACUCUGCCUUUCUCGCCUUCCAUUUCUUCUCUCUCUCUUCUCUUUGUUUCUCUGUCUCUGUGUGUCCCCUCUCUUGAUUUCUUUCUCUCCCUUUCUCUAGUAGGUUGCAUAUCAAUCUACAUACUUUGUCCCUCUUGAGUCUUGAUUUCUUUCUCUCGCUUUCUGUGUUAGGUUGCAUGUCAAUUCAGUCCCAUAUAAUCUAUUUAAUAAAAAGGAUGAUAUUCUUAAAUAUACAACUGGGGAGAGCGGGACAAGAGACUACCAUCGAGACUACCAGGCACACCACAACCAACAGGCAAGACAAACGAGACUUGGGAAAGCUGGCAACCCAAUCGGGAGACAGAGUCUCGUUAAAUAAUAGAUUUCUUUCCUCCUAUUCCUUUUUUUCUAGCAAGAUGACAUCAUUACUUACAUGCUCCUGAGAUUAAAUUAAAGAGUAUCGGGUCAAAAUGGGUCAUUUAUUAAAAAAAAAAAAAAAAAAACAACCAAUUUUUCAAAGUUACGAUCAAAUUCGUCUCUUUGUAUUCAAAUUCAUCUCUUUGUCAUAGGCAUCAUGUCAUUAAAUUAUUUUUUUUUUCAUCAUUUUAGUUAAAAUAUCAAUUGAUAGCUGAAACUUCAUUUUUAAACUAAAACCGUAAUUGAUAAUAAGACUUCAUUUUUUAACUAAAGCCUCAAUUGAUAACUGAGACUUUAGUUAAUUAUUUUUUAAAAUUAAAAAUUAUUAAAUUAUAAUUUAUUAUUGAAAAUUUAAAAAUAUAUUUAAAUAAUAAUUAUUUAUAUUUAAACUUAAGAAUCUAGUAUUAUUUUAACAAACAUAAAUUGAUAAAUAAAAAAAAUUAUAACUGAAUAUUUUAUUUAUUAAUAAUCUUAAAAUAAUAAAUUUAUAUAACAUAUAAAUAAUUUAUAAAAUAAAAAUGAAGUGAUUUUAAGUAAAAUGAUGAUUUUUUUUUUUUUUUAAUGAUAUGGCGCCUACGUGACACCAAAAAUGCUAAUUUAAACACAAGUUUCAAAAAGGCUAAUUUAAACACAAGUUUCAAAAAGUGGUUGGAUGUUAUGUUUUUUUUUAAUAAAUGGGUCAUUUUGAACCAAUGCUCCAAAUUAAAUUUAAACCUAUGAGCCCAUCCCGAACACUUCAUACGAAAAUGGAUUAACUCAUUGAAAGACUUGCAAGAAUGUUGAACAUUUUGCCUUCUCAGAUCAUCAGCAGCAGACAAGCAAUUAAUACUGAAAAAUGACUGAAAAUGAAUUAAUUUACUCGGUUGUGGGAUUACCUUUUUACUUUUAUUUAUUCUAAUUACCUUUACGAUCUCUUUUGCUAUCCUACCACCUCCACUAUUAAUCGAUCUUGUUUACUUUAAUUAUAAUUUAUGAAUAUAAAUAUGCUAAUUUUAUAAUUUAAAAUAAGUUUUAAAUUAACUUUAUUAAACAGCCUUAACGUCAAUUAAAAUUUUAAUUUUGUUAGAUUUCAGUUUUGAACAAAAAAAAUCUAUCAAUUUACUGUAACAUAGCCUUAGAAGCAUUUAUCAUCAAGGCAAUGAUCCAAUAGUAAGAGGGGAUCUGAACUAUCAGGUACAUGCCAUGUACUGCUUGUUUCUAAUUUUGAAAAAAUAGGGGUAAACAAAAGCAAAACACCAAACAUGUUCUCUCCAAAACAAUAAAGCUAGGCUCAAAAAGCAUUAAGAGAAUCAUAAAUCAGAAGAUUUGCAGCAUCAACAUACUUUCCUAGUUGAUUUUGAAUCCCCUGUUUUAGUUGGUCCCAGCAUUUCGUGUAGUAAACCUGAAGUAUGAAUCCACCAAUAGUAUAUGAGCAAAGAGGAAGAAAAAAACCAAAAUUAAUAUGUCAAAUUCAACAUCUACUGAUCAAACAAAUGUUCAAUGAGUUCUUAAAAUGAGUUUUCUAUCAUCCCACCAUCAAUACCUUAUCCAACUUCUUGAGUUGGUUGCACAGGCUCUUUUCUCUAAUAUAUGUUUAUCAUACAUUUUCCAAGUGAUCAAUCUUCAAAUAUUUUACUACAACACAAAAGAAGGGUGGGAAGUUUGACCAACAACCUUUUGAACCUUCACCUCAUCUUUUCAAAGCACUGAAGCAGCAUAAUCCGCUUCAUUGGGAUUUCACUAAAUUUUCAGCAGUUUAAUCUUCUUAGUCAAAUCUCUGUUUUGCCCACUGUUGAGCUAGUCCCUAGCACUAUACUGUAAUGCAAUCAUUCUAAAAUUAUGAACUUGUGGCAUGCAGUAUCCACAUAAGUGCCAUCUCCAGAUCCCUACUCCCUACCAUCUUGAAAUCCAAUAACGUUCCAUUGUUUCAAUUGAUUGGCAACUUAAAGCAAAAUGACCACCAAUAGUAAACACAAAUCAUUUUUCAAAAGCAUAUGAUUCGAUGUGUGGGACCUUCUCCACUCAAGGUUCAGAAUUUCUCUGGGAAAAUAAAAGCAAUGAAACUUACAAUUUUAAGAAGAAACCAAAUUUCGGCGGUAUUAAGUUGCUAAAUGGCGUUUCUUUCUUGAAAAUCAAGAAAAAAAAAAUCCAAAUUUCAGGUAGGUCAAAAAAACUUUAAGUCAACAUUCAGUACACCAACGCCGUUUCCCGUUACUGGAAACGCACAAAUUUUUCUCAGGAUUUUCAAUAACCCCCUACUCUCAAAAACAUUCUUCCACGCACAGAUUUCGAAAAUGCCAUAUGUGUUGAUGUCUCACGUCUUUGAGGAUCCACGUAGUUGACAGAUGGAUGGACGCGUGAUCUCAACCCAUAAAGGUUCUUGAUCCAGCCGUUAUACCUGCAAGAAGGCAUCCGGACAGGGUGUCCGGACGCACCCUCCGAUGGUUUUGUUAGCCAUGGUGAGAGAGAGGAAUAUAAAUCAGUUGGCCUUUUACCAGGUAUUAAAAAGUUACCAGGAGGAUCCCCCUCUUCUUCGUGCGAAUGCAUAUAUAUACAGCUUCAGGGUACUGUUCCUUUCAUUAAUGGUGAGGAAAUAUUUUAUGAUGGGAUGUGGGCCAUAGCUGGCUGUCGUGAUAGCGUGUAAGACUUGCUUUACUUUGAUUGAUGAUCCGGACGAUUAUAUCCGGGUGGCACAUGCUUAUUGCCCGGAUGUAUUGUGGGGCGAAUCCAUUAUGAAGGUUGUCCGGAUGUCUGUGCUUUGCCAGCGACGUUUGCUCUCCCUUGGAUAUGAGAAGUUGAAACGUCUUUUGCCUUUCCUUGAGGUGAUCCGGAUAGGAGAACUGCCUCAUGCAUAUCUUUAGGGGAAUCCGGAUGGUGGUGGUUCGGAUGAUGAUGCGUGCCACGUGUCACUGUGAGGUGCGUGCCACGUGUUUUCCAGAGGGAGGGGUCCCUACAAUAUGCCCGCAACCUUUUCAAAAUUUUCACCUCAAAAGCAAAUAAGAAACUCAUUUGUCCACAAAAUAUGAUUUCUAGAAAGAAAAAAAAAAAAAAAAAAAGCUUUUCUUCAUCAUUUCCCUAUCUUUUCGUCCGUUUUCUUAGCAAAGAAGUACAGACAACACAAGUACAACAAACCAAAAUCCAAACAAAAAAAGUCAAAUAAACUUACGAUCGCGGUUGAUUUGACGAAAGUUCUUGUACUCUCCGGCAUUUGACGAAAAAUCAAAGUCCGACAUCGACAUCGCGGAUCCAAAAGAACGAAGAUCAGAGAGCCAAAUGCAGAAGAGAAAAGGCGAGAAAGUUAGAGGGGAGAGUGUCUUCUAGAGAGAGAGUUUUCUGGAGCAAGAAAGGAGGAGAGAUAUGAUCGGAGGAAAGGUCGUUAUGGUUGUGGUGGGAACGUUCUUCUCGAUGAAUAUUUUUAUUUUUUGAAUGUAAAAUAGAACGGGAAUGUCGCAUCCGAAACACCAAAUGCGUCGUCGUUUUGUCUCUUUAAAUGCUUGAAAUUACGGUUCCAUCCUUUCUUGUUUUUAUCUCAUACGGCC
rnacentral:lncRNA from 1 species